UACAGAGGUCCCAAGCGUUGUUCGGAUUCAUUGGGCGUAAAGGGUGCGUAGGCGGCGCGGUAAGUCGGGUGUGAAAUCUCAGAGCUCAACUCUGAAACUGCACUCGAUACUGCUUUGCUCGAGGACUGGAGAGGAGAUUGGAAUUCACGGUGUAGCAGUGAAAUGCGUAGAUAUCGUGAGGAAGACCAGUGGCGAAGGCGGAUCUCUGGACAGUUCCUGACGCUGAGGCGCGAAGGCCAGGGGAGCAAACGGG
rnacentral:rRNA from 1 species